UUAUUCUUUUGUAGGUCACGGAUAUCUGAUGUGGCUAAUGAGGAAGUCUGCAAGUUGGAUAAAAAAUUCAGGAAAGGGAGUCACAUUUGAGUUCGUGUUCUUGGCUUUAGGCAUCUAGAAGAAUUGGCAAUGGAUGUUUUCUCUAGAUAUCAUCCUGAUUCGGAACUCAAAUGGACCUUCAUCAGUAUGAUGCAAGAGGCAAUUCAGGGUUGUCAUCAAGCUUGAUGCACGCGCCGACCUGCACCAUCUAGGAUUGUUCUUGAUAUUGUUAUGGCAGGGGAUCAAAACAGUGUGGCCACCUAUUGAAAGAUUGGAUCUCACACCCGUGUGCCAUAUUGGCACGUUUGUAAGAAUAUAGAAGGCCAGAGAUAUUCCAAGCGGUUAAAUGAGAGGCAGAUAACUAAUCUGUUAAAGGUGACCUGCCAAUGUCUUCAAGAUCGGGAUCUUGAUAUUGUACAGGUGUUGUGAUCUUGUCAUAGAAAGUGGCUUCAGAGUUUAUCUAUACCAGUUUUUUUUUUUUUUUUUUUGAAAUAGAAAUCAUUUUCCAGUUGGCCCUAAGCUUUCUUUUCAUUAUGUAUAUGCUGAUGAUUUCCACCAACUAGCACUUUUAUGAGAGGAAGGUCUGGAUUGGUAUGUUCAGGUGGAAAGCUAAAUUCUUGGUUUGAUUUGGGAGGCAAGCUGUCUUAAACAUCCAGUUUGCUUAGUUAAAUCCUUAAUAAAUUACAGUUAUCUUUGUGGAAAAGAUAUCAUACUGAUGA